rnacentral:misc_RNA from 1 species
GGCGGCUCUGGCUCUGAGGAAAUGGCCCCUCUUUUGAACCAGGCCGAGAAGCCCAAGAUCAAUAUCUUUUCCGUUUCUUACUCUCGUAGAAAACCUAGAGAGCAAGUGGCAAGAUUACCUGAAACAGAGACAUCCCCAAUAACACAGUUUAUUUUCUGGAUAUGGGGUGGAUCCAGAUACUCGGGCAUAUUGUGCAUGGCCUUAUCAUCAACCAUCUACUUCGUAAUGGAAGUUCUAUCUGAUUCUUUCUCUGCUC